CAGCACCUCAAGUGGUCAGGAUGGUUAUUGGGCCUAAAGCAUCCGUAGCCGGCGCUGUAAGUUUUCGGUUAAAUCUGUACGCUCAACGUACAGGCUGCCGGGAAUACUGCAGCGCUAGGGAGUGGGAGGGGUAGACGGUACUCGGUAGGAAGGGGUAAAAUCCUUUGAUCUAUUGAUGACCACCUGUGGCGAAGGCGGUCUACCAGAACACGUCCGACGGUGAGGGAUGAAAGCUGGGGGAGCAAACCGGAUUAGAUACCCGAGUAGUCC
rnacentral:rRNA from 1 species